ACCUUUGUUUGGUUCAUAAGCUUGAUGAUUGGGUUUUCAUGCUGUUGCGUGAGAAGUGCCUCCUUCUAAACCUUGUUAAGACUUUGGCACAUUACCCCUCUGACA